rnacentral:rRNA from 1 species
UGGGGAAUUUUGCGCAAUGGGGGAAACCCUGACGCAGCAACGCCGCGUGGAGGAUGAAAUCCCUUGGGAUGUAAACUCCUUUCGAUCGGGACGAUUAUGACGGUACCGGAAGAAGAAGCCCCGGCUAACUUCGUGCCAGCAGCCGCGGUAAUACGAGGGGGGCAAGCGUUGUUCGGAAUUAUUGGGCGUAAAGGGCGCGUAGGCGGUUUGACAAGUCUGAUGUGAAAUCUCUGGGCUCAACCCAGAGUCUGCAUUAGAAACUGUCGGGCUUGAGUAUGGGAGAGGUGAGUGGAAUUUCCGGUGUAGCGGUGAAAUGCGUAGAUAUCGGAAGGAACACCUGUGGCGAAAGCGGCUCACUGGACCAUAACUGACGCUGAGGCGCGAAAGCUAGGGGAGCAAACAGGAUUAGAUACCCUGGUAGUCCUAGCCCUAAACGAUGAUUGCUUGAUGUGGCAGGUACCCAAUCCUGCCGUGUCGAAGCUAACGCGAUAAGCAAUCCGCCUGGGGAGUACGGUC